AGCGAACGCUGGCGGCAGGCCUAAUACAUGCAAGUCGAACGGCUCUUCGGAGCAGUGGCGGACGGGUGAGUAACGCGUGGGAAUGUGCCCUUAGGUACGGAACAACACAGGGAAACUUGUGCUAAUACCGUAUGUGCCCUUCGGGGGAAAGAUUUAUCGCCUUUGGAGCAGCCCGCGUUGGAUUAGCUAGUUGGUGAGGUAAAGGCUCACCAAGGCGACGAUCCAUAGCUGGUCUGAGAGGAUGACCAGCCACACUGGGACUGAGACACGGCCCAGACUCCUACGGGAGGCAGCAGUAGGGAAUCUUGCGCAAUGGGCGAAAGCCUGACGCAGCCAUGCCGCGUGUAUGAUGAAGGUCUUAGGAUUGUAAAAUACUUUCACCGGGGAAGAUAAUGACGGUACCCGGAGAAGAAGCCCCGGCUAACUUCGUGCCAGCCGCCGCUGUAACAC
rnacentral:rRNA from 1 species